rnacentral:rRNA from 1 species
CCUACGGGUGGCAGCAGUGAGGAAUAUUGGUCAAUGGUCGGGAGACUGAACCAGCCAAGCCGCGUGAGGGAUGAAGGUACAGAGUAUCGUAAACCUCUUUUGUCAGGGAACACAGGCGGGGACGUGUCCCCGGAUGAGUGUACCUGAAGAAAAAGCAUCGGCUAACUCCGUGCCAGCAGCCGCGGUAAUACGGAGGAUGCGAGCGUUAUCCGGAUUUAUUGGGUUUAAAGGGUGCGCAGGCGGUCUGUUAAGUCAGCGGUGAAAGCCCCGGGCUCAACCCCGGCUCGGCCGUUGAAACUGGCAGUCUCGAGUUGGAGAGAAGUAUGCGGAAUGCGCGGUGUAGCGGUGAAAUGCAUAGAUAUCGCGCAGAACUCCGAUGGCGAAGGCAGCAUGCCGGCUCCACACUGACGCUGAGGCACGAAAGCGUGGGUAUCGAACAGGAUUAGAUACCCUUGUAGUC